rnacentral:rRNA from 1 species
GACGAACGCUGGCGGCGUGCCUAAUACAUGCAAGUCGAGCGGACGAAUCGGAAGCUUGCUUUUGUUUCGUUAGCGGCGGACGGGUGAGUAACACGUGGACAACCUGCCUUGUAGACUGGGAUAACACCGAGAAAUCGGAGCUAAUACCGGAUAACACGAUAUAUCGCAUGAUGUUUCAUUGAAAGACGGCGCAAGCUGCCGCUAUAGGUGGGGCCCGCGGCGACUUAGCUAGUUGGUGAGGUAACGGCUCACCAAGGCGACGAUGCGUAGCCGACCUGAGAGGGUGAUCGGCCACACUGGAACUGAGACACGGCCCAGACUCCUACGGGAGGCAGCAGUAGGGAAUCUUCCGCAAUGGGCGAAAGCCUGACGGAGCAACGCCGCGUGAGUGAAGAAGGCCUUCGGGUCGUAAAGCUCUGUUGUUAGGGAAGAACAAGUAUGGCAGUAACUGGCGAUACCGUGACGGUACCUAACGAGAAAGCCACGGCUAACUACGUG